AUUGAACGCUGGCGGCAUGCUUUACACAUGCAAGUCGAACGGCAGCGCGGGCUUCGGCCUGGCGGCGAGUGGCGAACGGGUGAGUAAUACAUCGGAACGUGCCCAGUAGUGGGGGAUAGCUCGGCGAAAGCCGGAUUAAUACCGCAUACGACCUGAGGGUGAAAGCGGGGGAUCUUCGGACCUCGCGCUAUUGGAGCGGCCGAUGGCAGAUUAGCGAGUUGGUGGGGUAAAGGCCUACCAAGGCGACGAUCUGUAGCUGGGCUGAGAGGACGACCAGCCACACUGGGACUGAGACACGGCCCAGACUCCUACGGGAGGCAGCAGUGGGGAAUUUUGGACAAUGGGCGAAAGCCUGAUCCAGCAAUGCCGCGUGUGUGAUGAAGGCCUUCGGGUUGUAAAGCACUUUUGGCGGGAACGAAAAGGACUGUGCCAAUACCACGGUUCGAUGACGGUACCCGCAGAAUAAGCACCGGCUAACUACGUG
rnacentral:rRNA from 1 species